rnacentral:rRNA from 1 species
GACGAACGCUGGCGGCGUGCUUAACACAUGCAAGUCGAACGGAAAGGCCCUGCUCUUGUGGGGUGCUCGAGUGGCGAACGGGUGAGUAACACGUGAGUAACCUGCCCUUGACUUUGGGAUAACUUCAGGAAAAUGGGGCUAAUACCGGAUAGGAUCUCCUGCUGCAUGGUGGGGGUUGGAAAGUUUCGGCGGUUGGGGAUGGACUCGCGGCUUAUCAGCUUGUUGGUGGGGUAGUGGCUUACCAAGGCUUUGACGGGUAGCCGGCCUGAGAGGGUGACCGGCCACAUUGGGACUGAGAUACGGCCCAGACUGCUACGGGAGGCAGCAGUGGGGAAUAUUGCACAAUGGGCGGGAGACUGAUGCAGCAACGCCGCGUGCGGGAUGACGGCCUUCGGGUUGUAAACCGCUUUCGCCGGUGACGAAGCGUGAGUGACGGUAAUGGGUAAAAAAGCACCGGCUAACUACGUG